rnacentral:rRNA from 1 species
GACGAACGCUGGCGGCGUGCUUAACACAUGCAAGUCGAACGGAAAGGCCCUGCUUUUGUGGGGUGCUCGAGUGGCGAACGGGUGAGUAACACGUGAGUAACCUGCCCUUGACUUUGGGAUAACUUCAGGAAACUGGGGCUAAUACCGGAUAGGAGCUCCUGCUGCAUGGUGGGGGUUGGAAAGUUUCGGCGGUUGGGGAUGGACUCGCGGCUUAUCAGCUUGUUGGUGGGGUAGUGGCUUACCAAGGCUUUGACGGGUAGCCGGCCUGAGAGGGUGACCGGCCACAUUGGGACUGAGAUACGGCCCAGACUCCUACGGGAGGCAGCAGUGGGAAAUAUUGCACAGUGGGCGGAAGCCUGAUGCAGCAACGCCACGUGCGGGAUGACGGCCUUCGGGUUGUAAACCGCUUUCGCCUGUGACGAAGCGUGAGUGACGGUAAUGGGUAAAGAAGCACCGGCUAACUACGUG